UUCGGGAUUUCUCAGUUGUGGCUUAUUGCCUUGGAUGGAGGGCAGGACCCUUCUAGGGGGCAGGGGUGGGCCUGGCAGUCCUAGUGCCCGUUAUGGGGAUACGGAGCCGUAGGUUUCCUCUGCUGGCAUCACGUGAAGAUGGUGGAUCCAUAUCACAGGCCUUGAGCUGAAGACCAGCUCUUGGGCAGCCCACUUCAGCCUCUCCUUUCCUUAUUAUCUCAAAUCAAAGCCUUAUCUUCUCCCCUUCAUCUUCCUCAUUUCCUUCUUAGGCAGCAGUAGUGGGCCUAAAGUCCUUGACCUUUGCGUCUGUGUGUGUGUCAUCAUGGCCGCUCAGGGUUCUAGGCUUUUCUUGAAUCUGCAGCAUUGCGCUUUGUGCGCAUGACACCCCCCUGCCCCGCCCCGCCCGCCCGCCCGGCCCCGCCCUACCAUGCCUUCUUCGGAGCAAGAGAGAACAUGGGCCUCCACUGCCACUGAAUCUCAGCCAAACCGUUAUCCCCAGCAUCUGGCCUCCCUUCUCUCCUCCCACGCUUUCGGCCAGUGUCUGGGGUGGAGGAGCAAACAACUUGUGGGAGGGGAUGGAGGGACAGCCUGGCCUGGAGCUCUCUGCCUUCCUUUCCUCGUGUGCCAUUUUUCAGCCUCACGCUUUCCUGUGGAUGGAUGAUGCCAGCGCUGACAUUUGUCGCCGAGCACCUCCUCUCCCCAAGGACUUCCCGUCGCGACUCUUUUGGGAUCUGGAAAGAGUGGCUCUGGGGCCUUGGGAGCCAGAGGGGAAAGGGAGACCUGGCCCCGGUCACAGCGGACUGUGAGAUGGGCGAGGGGUGGAAGCUGGCCGACCCCACCCAAGCGCAAAGGCAGCCCCGGCCCCUUUGCGUCAUGUCUUUUUCAGCCUGAGUAGAGAGCAACUUGACCUAAAAAAAUUGUAUAUAUAUGGGUGUUGGAUCCUUUGUGUCUCUUUGUCCAGAAGCUGUGCAUGUGAUGAGAGCCCAGGUUCUGUACUUCAGAGAACUGUUGUCCUUCAGGUUUGUUUUCAGAAAGAUGUGAUGGAUGGGCCAUCCUUGAUGAGGCCGCGUGCCCGCUGGGACUGGCCUUUCUCCAGGAUGCUGGGCCCGACUUGGUGUUUCUUCUGUCAGUGGAUGAGAACCCAGAGGAGUUCAGCUCCAUGAGUAGGUGACAAACUCCUGGAGACUCAGCUGACGAUGGUGCUGGCGUGCAGAAAACAGUUGUCAUCCUGUGGGAUAAGUGUGUGCCCAUUUGCAUUUAUUUGGAACAAAAAAAGGAGCUGCCUGGCAGCCUGGCUCUCUGCAAUGAUAGUAGAUUCAAAAUCUUGUGGAGGAGGGCGCUGAUGUAAGCUGAGGGCCAGGAGGGGCUGGUGCUUCUCGAAGGAUCCUGGAUCCCGGGUUUGGAGGAGAGGCUGGGCACAUGAUGUGGCUGAGAGCACAGUGUGGCCUCCGGUGUGUCUUCCUGGUUUCCGGUUUGCCUUGCUUUGCCCGAGGAUGUCUUUUGACCUCUCUCUUCCUUCUUUUGAACCUGCUGCCUUCCCUGCCUUCCUCCAGCCCUCCCUCAUCCUUUCUUUGAUUUUCUUUGGGAUGUGUGAGGCAGACCCAGCUAUGGGAAUCCGGGAGCUGGUCUGCUCCCCGCCCUCACCCUCGUCUGGGGCUUCCGGAAGUCUGGCUUGCCCAGCAUAAGGGGCCAGCUGUCCUCAGAGGAGCUGGUGGUGAACGAGCAUGUAUAGGGCAGAGUGGGCUGGGUCUUUGCCUCCUCCCUUUCAGAGGUGCUGUUGAGCCCCCAGUUUAUGUGGUUCUGUGACCACAAGUGCUGAUGGAUGUGACGCCAUCCCAGUCUUGUCUGUGAACCAUCACCAGGCUGCUUAUUGGAAACCAGGUGCAGCAAGGAAGAUAGGAUUCAACACCCUCCUUCCCCGCCUCCCAGAAUUUAAUCUGCUGGACAACAAACAAUACUGUUAUAAAACUUUGAAAACAAGAGGGCGCGGCCUCCCUGACAAGGAGAAGGGCAUGCCGGGUAAUGGGCGAGGGAGCCUGCCAGGCCCGAGACGGAGCCAGGCAAGAGCCCAGUUGGCUGGGCACCUGGGUGCCCGCCUCUGCCCAGCCCACCAGCCGUGCCAUCCCCAGUCCAGAGGGGAAGGAACCGAAACGAAAGUGGGGGCAGCAGAGCUCUUGAAAAGGGGAAGUUGUCCUGAGACUGGCAGACAGAGGUCCUGAUAACAGAAUGAGGCUGGCAUAGCCGUGAAGGUACAGCCACCAACUGGGCCAGCUGCAGGGGAAGCAGGAGAGAAAGGUGCUCCAAGCUGGCUUUGGACUCCAGACCUACCCUCUGUCUGCCCAGCUUCCCGCCCCCCACCUAGGGAAGUGGAACCAGGUCAUGGGCAUUACCCGGUCCAUGUGCUCCGCCAGGAGCCCUGAAACCAGCAUUCCCAGCGGCAGGAAGAUGGAUGAUCCGGCUCCACUUCCGGCGCCCCUCCCCCACUCUGGCUGGAACUUGCGUCAGUCAUAUCAAGGAUACCCUCGGGUUGGUUGCCAGGGAGAGCAAGCUGCUUCCAGCCGCAUGAAAUCACCUGGCUACAUGCAACUAGGGGACAAAAUCAGCAGCCGCUUUCAGAUUAUUUUCCAUUCAUAAUUGUAUGAUGAUGAUAAGCGGGGUCCUGAAAAGUUAAUUUGCUGCGCAGAUCUUAACCUAUUUUGUAAAGAAUUUGAAGUCGGUUACAGCAAACAUAUUAAAAAUGCAGCCUAUGAAGACAAGAAUGAAAUUCUAUGAGCCAAGAAAUAAAAUGAGAAAAAAGGAUUACAGAAGCGAGACACGUUGCAAACCUGGGCUGAAGGAUGCUGCUUAUUGAACGGGAAACUGACCUCCGUUCCCACUGGGCCUCAGCCCUGGAGCCUCUGCAGUCAGUGUUCCCUCAGAAACAUUGGCAUAACUGAGCCUGUACUCACAUGGCCCUUAGAGGCAGGAGCACUGACGAAUUCAGCUGCGUUAUAAGAGAUGCAGGAGUAUCGCUGCUUUUGGUUCUUAGUUUCUAUCAACUCUUGAAGACAGAGUGCACCAGUUCUGUAAAGGUAUUCAGCGAUGAGCCAGACUUGAUUUCACGGGGCAUUAAACGUGGGGACUCUUCAGGCGGCAGUGGGUGAUCAGAAGACCAAUCAUUUUCCUGAACACCAUGAACAGUGCUCAUCUAAAUGAUAGUAGACUCCAGAAUUCUCAAUGAAGCCACAAGCCCUAAGCACCAGGAUGCCGGAUGUCCUGAUUCUUUCUGCUAGUUCUGCACAAGGCCUGCCAUUGUGUCAUACCAACACCCCUCAGGUUUCAGGAUCUUGGCUACCUGACGAGGGACUGAACCCAUGCCCCUUGCAAUGGAAGUGCGGAGUCCUAACUACUGGACCACCAGGGAAGUCCCUGCAUUAAUAUAAUCUUAAAGAAACAUUAAUGUGAUAUAACAACAAAGCUAUCUGAAGAUGAUUAAAAUGUGAAAGUGAAUUAUUGUACUAAUUACAGUUAUGUCAUAUUACCUUCAGCAUUCAUUAAGUUAACUUCAAGUGUUUACAGACAACCUGAAGCUCACGGCCCAUCUGAAAACUACUUUCCUGGUUGGCUUUAGCCUCAAAGGAAUCCUAAGAGAACCAAGCAGAUACAUAGGGCUUGGUAGGCCCACAGUGCCAUUCUAGCUGAAGUACAUGCCACACACAACUACUCCAACGCCCAGAACUACAAGAAAUCAGGAAACAAAUGAUAUGUAACUGUGAAAAAUCAUUGCCAAGAUUCAAAAUCUAGCAGAGGAAAUAAAUAAUGGUCAGAUUUCCAUGGCCAGAAAAUGUUAUCUUAUUUAAGCACAUAUACAUUUACAUUCCAUCUUGACUCUUCAGUAUCAAUGCAAUUCUUUCCAUUAAACAGUACAGGGUAAGUCAGAGAAGAGUCCUUGAUUAAUUGAGAAAAUUACCCAAAGCAUAUUUGGGAUGCAAACUCAUAUGAGUAAUGAUCUUGAAACAACUUGCA